UACGUAGGUGGCAAGCGUUAUCCGGAAUUAUUGGGCGUAAAGAGCGCGCAGGUGGUUAAUUAAGUCUGAUGUGAAAGCCCACGGCUUAGCCGUGGAGGGUCAUUGGAAACUGGUUGACUUGAGUGCAGAAGAGGGAAGUGGAAUUCCAUGUGUAGCGGUGAAAUGCGUAGAGAUAUGGAGGAGCACCAGUGGCGAAGGCGGCUUCCUGGUCUGCAACUGACACUGAGGCGCGAAAGCGUGGGGAGCAAACAGG
rnacentral:rRNA from 1 species